UGCGUAGGCGGGGCAAUAAGUCAGUGGUGAAAUCCUGCGGCUUAACCGUAGAACUGCCAUUGAUACUGUUGCCCUUGAGUAUAGUUGAGGUGGGCGGAAUGUGUAAUGUAGCGGUGAAAUGCAUAGAUAUUACACAGAACACCAAUUGCGAAGGCAGCUCACUAAGCUAUAACUGACGCUGAGGCACGAAAGCGUGGGGAGCGAACAGGAUUAGAUACCCUGGUAGUCC
rnacentral:rRNA from 1 species